AUAGCGGAGGAAAAGAAACCAACAGGGAUUGCCCCAGUAACGGCGAGUGAAGCGGCAACAGCUCAAAUUUGAAAUCUGGUCCCUAGGGCCCGAGUUGUAAUUUGUAGAGGAUGCUUUUGGUGAGGUGCCGCCCGAGUUCCCUGGAACGGGACGCCACAGAGGGUGAGAGCCCCGUCUGGCUGGCCGCCGAGCCUCUGUAAAGCUCCUUCGACGAGUCGAGUAGUUUGGGAAUGCUGCUCAAAAUGGGAGGUAUAUGUCUUCUAAAGCUAAAUAUUGGCCAGAGACCGAUAGCGCACAAGUAGAGUGAUCGAAAGAUGAAAAGCACCUUGAAAAGAGGGUUAAAUAGUACGUGAAAUUGUUGAAAGGGAAGCGCUUGUGACCAGACUUGGGCGCGGCGGAUCAUCCGGGGUUCUCUCCGGUGCACUUCGCCGCGUCUAGGCCAGCAUCAGUUCGUCGCGGGGGAAAAAGGCUUCGGGAACGUGGCUCCUCCGGGAGUGUUAUAGCCCGUUGCAUAAUACCCUGCGGUGGACUGAGGACCGCGCAUCUGCAAGGAUGCUGGCGUAAUGGUCACCAGCGACCCGUCUUGAAACACGGACCAAGGAGUCGUCUUCGUAUGCGAGUGUUCGGGUGUCAAACCCCUACGCGUAAUGAAAGUGAACGCAGGUGAGAGCUUCGGCGCAUCAUCGACCGAUCCUGAUGUUCUCGGAUGGAUUUGAGUAAGAGCAUACGGGGCCGGACCCGAAAGAAGGUGAACUAUGCCUGUAUAGGGUGAAGCCAGAGGAAACUCUGGUGGAGGCUCGCAGCGGUUCUGACGUGCAAAUCGAUCGUCAAAUAUGGGCAUGGGGGCGAAAGACUAAUCGAACCUUCUAGUACUG
rnacentral:rRNA from 1 species